rnacentral:rRNA from 1 species
AUUGAACGCUGGCGGGAUGCUUUACACAUGCAAGUCGAACGAGUGGCGGACGGGUGAGUAAUAUAUCGGAACGUGCCCAGUAGCGGGGGAUAACUACUCGAAACAGUGGCUAAUACCGCAUACUAUAGGAGCGGCCCAUUUGGGAUUAGCUAGUUGGUGGGGUAAAGGCUCACCAAGGCGACGAUCCGUAGCUGGUUUGAGAGGAUGACCAGCCACACUGGGACGGAGACACGGCCCAGACUCCUACGGGAGGCAGCAGUGGGGAAUUUUGGACAAUGGGGGAAACCCUGACCCAGCCAUGCCGCGUGUAUGAGAAGGCCUUCGGGUUGUAAAGUACUUUCGGCAGAGAAGCGGUAACUGCAGAAUAAGCACCGGCUAACUCCGUGCCAGCAGCCGCGGUAAUAC